GAUGACGCUGGCGGCAGGCCUAACACAUGCAAGUCGAGCGAGCGGCGGACGGGUGAGUAAUGUCUGGGAAACUGCCUGAUGGAGGGGGAUAACUACUGGAAACGGUAGCUAAUACCGCAUACCAUCAGAUGUGCCCAGUUGGGAUUAGCUAGUAGGUGGGGUAAUGGCUCACCUAGGCGACGAUCCCUAGCUGGUCUGAGCGGAUGACCAGCCACACUGGAACUGAGACACGGUCCAGACUCCUACGGGAGGCAGCAGUGGGGAAGAUUGCACAAGGGGCGCAAGCCUGAUGCAGCCAUGCCGCGUGUAUGAAGAAGGCCUUCGGGUUGUAAAGUACUUUCAGCGGGGCGGCGUUACCCGCCGAAGAAGCACCGGCUAACUCCGUGCCAGCAGCCGCGGUAAUUC
rnacentral:rRNA from 1 species